GAUGAAGACGUAGCGAAAUGCGAUAAGUAAUGUGAAUUGCAGAAUUCUGUGAAUCAUCGAAUCUUUGAACGCACCUUGCGCUCCUUGGUAUUCCGAGGAGCAUGCCUGUUUGAGUGUCAUUAAUAUAUCAACCUUCUCUUUUUUGAGUUGUUUGGAUGUGGGGGUUUGCUGGCCUCUUAAAUGAUUCAGCUCCCCUGAAAUGCAUUAGCAGAACAACCUGUUCAUUAGCGUGAUAAUUAUCUAUGCUAUUGAAUGUGAGGGCAGUUCAGCUUUCUAACCGUCCUUGGACAAUUCAUCAUUAAUGUGACCUCAAAUCAGGUAGGACUACCCGCUGAACUUAAGCAUAUCAAUAAGCGGAGGA
rnacentral:misc_RNA from 1 species